rnacentral:tRNA from 1 species
GGCCCCUUGGUCAAGCGGUUAAGACACCGCCCUUUCACGGCGGUAACGGGGGUUCGAGUCCCCCAGGGGUCACCA